rnacentral:rRNA from 1 species
UGACGGAGCACGCCGCGUGAGUGAAGAAGGUUUUCGGAUCGUAAAGCUCUGUUGUCAGGGAAGAACAAGUACGGAAGUAACUGUCCGUACCUUGACGGUACCUGACCAGAAAGCCACGGCUAACUACGUGCCAGCAGCCGCGGUAAUACGUAGGUGGCAAGCGUUGUCCGGAAUUAUUGGGCGUAAAGCGCGCGCAGGCGGCUUCUUAAGUCUGAUGUGAAAGCCCACGGCUCAACCGUGGAGGGUCAUUGGAAACUGGGAGGCUUGAGUGCAGAAGAGGAGAGCGGAAUUCCACGUGUAGCGGUGAAAUGCGUAGAGAUGUGGAGGAACACCAGUGGCGAAGGCGGCUCUCUGGUCUGUAACUGACGCUGAGGCGCGAAAGCGUGGGGAGCGAACAGGAUUAGAUACCCUGGUAGUCCACGCCGUAAACGAUGAGUGCUAAGUGUUGGAGGGUUUCCGCCCUUCAGUGCUGCAGCUAACGCAUUAAGCACUCCGCCUGGGGAGUACGGCCGCAAGGCUGAAACUCAAAGGAAUUGACGGGGGCCCGCACAAGCGGUGGAGCAUGUGGUUUAAUUCGAAGCAACGCGAAGAACCUUACCAGGUCUUGACAUCCCGCUGACCGGUCUGGAGACAGGCCUUUCCCUUCGGGGACAGCGGUGACAGGUGGUGCAUGGUUGUCGUCAGCUCGUGUCGUGAGAUGUUGGGUUAAGUCCCGCAACGAGCGCAACCCUUGAUCUUAGUUGCCAGCAUUCAGUUGGGCACUCUAAGGUGACUGCCGGUGACAAACCGGAGGAAGGUGGGGAUGACGUCAAAUCAUCAUGCCCCUUAUGACCUGGGCUACACACGUGCUACAAUG